CCUACGGGCCGCACCAGUGGGGAAUAUUGCACAAUGGGCGCAAGCCUGAUGCAGCCAUGCCGCGUGUAUGAAGAAGGCCUUCGGGUUGUAAAGUACUUUCAGCGAGGAGGAAGGCGUUAAGGUUAAUAACCUUGGCGAUUGACGUUACUCGCAGAAGAAGCACCGGCUAACUCCGUGCCAGCAGCCGCGGUAAUACGGAGGGUGCAAGCGUUAAUCGGAAUUACUGGGCGUAAAGCGCACGCAGGCGGUCUGUCAAGUCGGAUGUGAAAUCCCCGGGCUCAACCUGGGAACUGCAUUCGAAACUGGCAGGCUAGAGUCUUGUAGAGGGGGGUAGAAUUCUAGGUGUAGCGGUGAAAUGCGUAGAGAUCUGGAGGAAUACCGGUGGCGAAGGCGGCCCCCUGGGCAAAGACUGACGCUCAGGUGCGAAAGCGUGGGGAGCAAACAGGAUUAGAUACCCGCGUAGUC
rnacentral:rRNA from 1 species